rnacentral:rRNA from 1 species
UGCGGGUUGGAAAUAAACUGGAGGCCAUUGGUUCCUAAGUGGGAGACCAAUCGGGGAUUCCCCCAGUAGCGGCGAGCGAACAGGGAGCAGCCCAGAGUCAACAUCAAUAUUUACCGCAGGAGAAAGAUCUGGAAAGGCCGGCAAUAAAGGGUGAUAGCCCCGUAUCUGAAGCGGUAAGUGUUGUGAACUCGAAGAGUAAGGCGGGACACGUGUUAUCCUGUCUGAAUAUGGGGGGACCAUCCUCCAAGGCUAAAUACUCCUGACUGACCGAUAGUGAACCAGUACCGUGAGGGAAAGGCGAAAAGAACCCCGGCGAGGGGAGUGAAAUAGAACCUGAAACCGUGUACGUACAAGCAGUAGGAGCACCCGAAAAGGUGUGACUGCGUACCUUUUGUAUAAUGGGUCAGCGACUUAUAUUCUGUAGCAAGGUUAACCGCAUAAGGGAGCCGUAGGGAAACCGAGUCUUAACUGGGCGUUAAGUUGCAGGGUAUAGACCCGAAACCCGGUGAUCUAGCCAUGGGCAGGUUGAAGGUUGGGUAACACUAACUGGAGGACCA